GAAAUGCGAUAAGUAAUGUGAAUUGCAGAAUUCAGUGAAUCAUCGAAUCUUUGAACGCACCUUGCGCUCCUUGGUAUUCCGAGGAGCAUGCCUGUUUGAGUGUCAUUAAAUUCUCAACUUCAUCAUUUUUGUUGAAGCUUGGAUGUGGGGUUGUGCAGAACACUUUGGUGGUCUGCUCCUCUUAAAUGAAUUAGCGAGUUCAAACUGAGCUCCGUCUAUUGGUGUGAUAAUUAUCUACACUGUGGAUUGGACUUAGACUUGCUUCUAAACCGUUCGCAAGGACAAUUCUUGACAAUUUGACCUCAAAUCAGGUAGGACUACCCGCUGAACUUAA
rnacentral:misc_RNA from 1 species